rfam:Oryza punctata chromosome 3, whole genome shotgun sequence.
GAAAGCCGUAUUCGAUGAAAGUCGUACAUACGACUUGGAGGGAGAUCUUUCCUAUUUUUCGAGAUUCACCCUAC